GAUGAACGCUAGCGGCAGGCCUAACACAUGCAAGUCGAGGGGUAACAUUUGUGCUUGCACAAGAUGACGACCGGCGCACGGGUGCGGAACGCGUAUGGAACCUGCCCCUGUCAGGGGAAUAGCCCAGAGAAAUUUGGAUUAAUGCCCCAUGGUACCUUAGGGACACAUGUUCUUAAGGUUAAAGAUUUAUCGGACAGGGAUGGCCAUGCGUACCAUUAGCUGGUUGGUGGGGUAACGGCCCACCAAAGCUACGAUGGUUAGGGGCCCUGAGAGGGGGAUCCCCCACACUGGUACUGAGACACGGACCAG
rnacentral:rRNA from 1 species